UACAGAGGUCUCAAGCGUUGUUCGGAUUCAUUGGGCGUAAAGGGUGCGUAGGCGGUCGCGGUAAGUCGGGUGUGAAAUCUUGGAGCUUAACUCCGAAACUGCAUUCGAUACUGCCGUGCUUGAGGACUGGAGAGGAGACUGGAAUUUACGGUGUAGCGGUGAAAUGCGUAGAUAUCGUAAGGAAGACCAGUGGCGAAGGCGGGUCUCUGGACAGUUCCUGACGCUGAGGCACGAAGGCCAGGGGAGCAAACGGG
rnacentral:rRNA from 1 species